rnacentral:lncRNA from 1 species
UUUUUUUAGGAUUUGUUUAUAAUAGAAGCAAGCAACAGACCAGAUCUUGUAGAUGCAGCACUUCUAAGGCUUGGUCGGUUUGAUAAGCUACUUUAACUGAAUCAACGCUUGGUUCCAUGCUGCAAAGCGCAAGCCGCCGAUGCAGAUCCAACUAACAUGAAGGAUGACGUUGAUUAUGUGGUUGUUGAAUAUGAAGAUUUUGUGCAGAAAUUAAGGUUCCAACUGCCAUAUUAGAAGGCGAGCUUUACCAGUUAUACCCACAAGAAGAAGUCAAACAUGGGAAUAUAUUAUUAGAAAAUCAAGAAGUAAGUUCCAUGAUUUAUAGGACUAGAUAGGAAGGGUUAUAUUUUUCUCUGUUUAGGGUUAGGGGUUUAAAGUUCAAUGAAUAAAAUAGUUUUUGACAAAAGCUAGAUUGAGAGCUUUGUGAAGAUAUUCAAAGGUGUUGGUCAUGGAUGGGCUUAUAGAUAUAGCGAGGAUAAUGAAUCUGUUGAGAGGAGUGCUGAGGUGGCCAAGCAUGUGAUUUUUUAAGCGGGUCGAGUGGUUAUUUUUCUAAUCUCACUUAUGAAGGUGUAACAUGAUAUACUUGAAGCCAAGAACCUUACACUAGCAUUCAUCAUUGUAAAGCAUUGUGCUUUGGAGUAGAAUGUCGAGUUAGCUUCUGAAGUUGGAGACUUUACUUGAUGAUAGCGUGGGGCAAAAUGUCGAGUUGGAAUUUGAAAGGAGUGGCACGUCUUUGACCGUUCAGUUGGUGGCUGAAGACUUACACUCAAUAACUCUUUCGGAGUUAGGAUUGACACGUCUUUGUGAUGUACAUUUUAGAGCGGAGCCGCCAGUGAAGGCUGCUGACCAUACGGGACAGAACUAUAUCAGCCUUAGGAGGACAUGCUAAAGAAUGCAAAUAAUCAAGGAACAACCAUCCUCCAUACUCUGAAGGUAGAUUAUACUUUGGGAGAUUUCGAGGUAGUUUUAUGGAGCUACACAUAUUGGUGGUUGUUUAGGAGAGUUAACGGGCUCUCAUAUUCAUCGCUUUUCAUGGAGAAGGUAUCUAUCCGGCAACCCUUAGACGUGAAGCCCGACUUUGGAAAGGUAUUGCUGGGUUUGGUGGUAAGUGCAGGUUAUUGGACUUGGGUUUGACUUGGAUGAUGGCUAGAAGCUUGAAGUUUGUUGCUGAUGCGUAUGAAAGCCAACAGAGUUUUGAAGAUUGAUGUUUUUUGUUUGAACUGUAUUUUGUCUUGAUUUUGGUUGUUUUCGUUUGUUUUUUGUUUGGAUUUUGAAUAGGUUUUAUGUUUGUAAUACUUGGGUUGUGUGUGGUCGUGAGUAGAGUUAGAAGUAAUAAUUGUUAUUGGUUAGAGCGGUUGGGGUAGGGGUUUGUUAAAACCCGUUCUGUAAGGCCUUAGGCGUUUUUGAGGUUGGUGUUCUUGGGGUAUGUCUCGAAAGACCCAAUGCUCUUUAG